rnacentral:lncRNA from 10 species
UGUAGCCCUAGCCCUAGCUACUUGGGAGGCUGAGGCAGGAGGACUGUUUGAGCCCAGGAAUUUGAGCCUGCAGUGAGCUAUGAUUGCACCACUGUACUCCAGCCUGGGCAACAGAGCCCGACCCUAUAUCUAAUUAAUAAUAACAAAAAGAUUAAAUAACUUAACCCAGGCAACACAGAUGGAAAGUAGCAGAGCUGGGGGCUAGAAUCCAGAUCUAAAUCUUCAGCCUGCAUUCUUCCUAAUUUAUGUGGAGCCUCACACUGUCUUGCCCUGUCCCAUGUGCAAGAUAGCAGCCGAGAAUGACUACUGCAGCAUUCCUUCUGAUUUCCUUAUUUCUGACUUGAAUAUGCUACACCAGUAACAAAACUAUGAGCACCCAAGACACAACCACACGCAUGUGCACACACAGAGACGCACACACAUACUGUUAACAGAUACUGAGACAAAGAUCUUGGAAGACAGCAUU